UUGACCCGACUCUUUCCCACCAUCAUAAAGCGAACUUCUCUCCACCUUCUCCGCCUCUCCAGUCUCCAAUCCACCAGAGCCUCCCUCCUUUCUCCCCAAAUGGCUCCGAUACCGAUGCUGCUCGUCCUCCUCUUCGCGGCUUCUCCGGCCUCCUCUUCCAACUCCGAAGGGGAGGCGUUGCACGCCUGGAGGGCGCGGCUCACAGAUCCCACCAACGUGCUGCAGAGCUGGGAUCCCACCCUCGUCAAUCCCUGCACCUGGUUCCAUGUCACUUGUGAUCCCCAGAAUCGCGUUAUCCGCCUGGAUUUGGGGAAUUCCAAUAUUUCUGGCCCUAUCGGCUCCGAGCUUGGCCGUCUUGAGCACCUUCAGUACUUGGAGCUUUAUAGGAACAACCUAAAAGGGAAGAUCCCAGCCGAGCUUGGCAACUUGAAGAACCUCAUCAGCAUGGACUUGUAUGGGAACCAUUUACAAGGAGAGAUUCCCAAGUCCUUUGCCAAAUUGAAGUCACUUAGAUUCUUGCGGCUGAACAACAACAAGUUGACCGGAUCAAUUCCAAGAGAGCUUGUUGUCCUUUCAAAUCUCAAAAUCUUGGACGUUUCAAACAAUGAUCUUUGUGGAACCAUUCCGAUUGGUGGACCAUUUGCCAACUUUCCUCUUCAAAGAGCGAAUUCUAAUAAAGCUUCAGCAGUUUUAUAGAGAAGGCAUGCCGCUGAACCAUUGUAACUUUUCUUCCUUCUUUUUCUUCGUGUUUGCUCUUUCUUGUGCUUCUUUGUUUUGCUACUCCACGUGAUCUUUUUAUCUCUUCCUCUUCUUUUGCGUUAAAGAUUGAGAGGUGUUGCCCCCUUUGCGCAAUAAUUGGUAUCAGAGCGAGGAGGGUGUUGUCGAAUUUUUUCAACAUGUCGGGGACGUCUUUUGUGAAGCUUGAUAUGGUGAAGUUUGACAGAAUCAGGAACUUCGGAUUAUGACAGAGAAGAGUCAAUGACUUGGUGCAAUAAGGCAUGGUGAAGGCACAAGAGAAAGGACAUCGGAAAGCAUGGAGAGAUCGGAUUGGGAAGAACUUCAGGCGAAGAUAGUGACAACAAUUAAGCUUUGUCUUAUAGAUGAUGUGAUGUACCAUGUUAUGGACAAGGAGUCACAUGUGAUGGUUUGGCAAAAACUGAAAGUCGGUACAUGUCAAAGUUAUUAUUAACAAACAAAUUGUACCUCAAGAAAAAGUUAUACGGACUGAAGAUGAUAGAGGGAAUUGAUUUGAGCCAACACAUCAACUUAUUCAAUUAGAUCGUGAGCGAUUUGAUGUGAAGAUCAAGGACGAAGACAAGACGCUGAUGUUGCUGAAUUCUCUACCUUCAUCUCCUAUGUACGAGAAUUUAGUUACUACUUUGAUGUGGGCUAAGGAAACUCUUAAAUUGGAGGAGAUCACAAGUGAGUUACUAGGUUUUUAUCAAAGGAAGAAAAUAAGGGAUGAAGUUUUUCAGUGAGAAGGACUUAUGGUAAAUAGCAAUCAAGAGCUUACCUCGACAUGGAUCAGGUAACAACAAUAAGGCUCGUUCUAAGUCAAGAGGGAAGGAGGUGAUCACUUGCUACAAGUAUAGAGGUAAAUGUAUAUAAAGAGAGAUUAUUUAGGGAUGAAGAAACAUGUUGUAGAGAACAAUGAUAGUUCGACAAAUCUACAAACAUAAUUGAAGAAGAAAAUUCAGAGAGCGGUGAUGGAGAUAUAUUAUCAGUUAUGUUGAGUUUGGAGCAGCUGUCGGAUGCAUGAAUUUUAGACUCUACAUGUUCAUAUCACAUAACUUCAAAUAAGGAGUGAUUUAACACGACAGUGAAUUUUGGUUCAGUGUUGAUAGGAAACGAUGCGUCAUGCAGAGUUAUCGAUAUAAGGAACAUCAAAAUCAAGAUGUUUGAUGGUGUGAUCAGAACCCUAUGUGAUGUUAAACAUAUACCAGAGCUAAGGAAGAACUUACUUUCACUAGACACACUGGAUGGUAUUGGUUGUAGUUACAAAUCAAUGAGAGACUUAUAAAAGUCAGCAAGGGAGCUCUGAUGGUAAUGAAAGAACAAAAGUUAGUAGGAAAUAUCUACAAGUUGAUAGUGACUAUAGUUAUAAGUGAAAUUGCCUCGGUGGAGUUUGAAUCAUACAGUACUGUCUUGUGGCAUAUGCGGUUAGGACAUAUGAGUGAACAUGAUAUGUUGGAACUUUACAAGAGAGAUUUGUUGAAGGGCGUCAAGACGUGCAAUCUUGAAUUAUGCAAAUUCUAUAUUCUUGGUAAACAGAGCAAAGUGCAAUUCUAGACGGCAGACAAUAUACAAGACGGAGAAAAUUCUGGACUAUAUACAUACGGACCUCUGGGAUCAGUUAGUGUAGCAUCAUGAGGGCACUUGUAUUUUGUGAGUUUUACUGAUGAUUACUCAUGAAAGAUCUGAGUAUAGGGUUUAGGGUAUAUUUUAUGCGCUACAAGUUGGAAACUUUUGCAAAGUUUAAACUGUGGAAAAUUAAAAUGGAGAACCAGAUCGGAAGGAAGAUUAAAUGCCUUAGGCCAGACAAUGGGAGUACACAGAUUUAAAUUUUCAAGAUUUUUGUGUACAGUAUGACAUAAUGAAGUAUUUCUUGGUUCGCAGGACACCUUAGCAGAACGGGGUGGCAGAAAGGUUGAACAGGAUAAUCAUUGAGAAGGUAAGAAUCCUUAGGUUGAAUGUAGGACUAAUAAAGAAUUUCUGGACAGAAGUGAUUAAUAAUAUGUUAUCUCAUUAAUAGAUCGCCAAGAGCAGUACUAGAAGGCAAAGUAUCAGAGGAGGCGGUUCACAGAUCUGAGAAGGACAAGUGGAUGGGUGCUAUGACGGAAGAGAUAGAGUCACUGUAUAAGAACAAAACGUGAGAUCUAGUGGAGCUUCAUGAGGAAAACGAGCUAUACGGUGCAAGUGGUUGUUGUUCAAGAAGAAAAAUAGGUCAACAAAUUAAAGGGGCUACUGAGCAAAGAAUUUGACAUGAAGGAUUUAGGCGAGACUAAGAAGAUUCUUGGGAUGAAGAUUCACAAGGAUAGAGCUGCAGGAAGAUUAUGGGUAUCUCAACGUAGCUAUGUGGAUAAGGUGCUAGAUAGGUUCAAUAUGAAGAAUAAGAAGUCAGUAAGCUAUCCCAUGACGCAUCACUUUAAGUUAUCCAGCAUAGUAUCUAAAGAUGAAUGAAGAGAUCCAAGAGAUGUCAAAGGUUUCUUAUGCCAAUGCAAUUGGUUGUCUAAUGUAUGCCAUGGUUUGCAUGAGACCAUAUUUGGCACAAGCAAUUAGUAUGACGGGCAAGUUUUUUUCUCAAAUCUUGGUCGAUCAUAUUGGGAUGUAGUGAAGUGGAUUUUUAAAUACUUCAGAAAUAUAAUUGAUUAUGAAAUCAUGUUCAAUAAACAUCCGAAAAAUCGGGUACGUGGAUGUAGACUAAUGCAGGAGGUUCAGAUGACAAGAGGUCUACUACGGGAUACGUGUUCACUAUGAUGGGAGGACUUAUAUAUUGGAAGUCUAUGAUAUAAUCUAUUGUUGCUUUGUCCAUUACGGAGUUAGAGUGUAUGUCAGUAGCUAAAGAAGCGAAGGAAGUUUUAUGACUUGCAGGAUUAGUCAGAGAAUUGGGUGUUCAGUAAGGUAAAGUCAAGUUAUUAUGCGAUAGUCAGAGUAUUAUCUAUUUGACAAAAAAUCAGAUGUAUCAUGCGAGAACCAAGCAAAUUAAUGUGAGGUUUCACAAGAACAGAGAGUUGAUUGUUUUGGGAGAAAUUCAACUUGAGAAACUUCACAGUGUAGACACUGUUGUAGGCAUAUUGACAAAGCCUGUGACUGUAGAGAAGUUCAAGCAUUGCUUGAAGUAGAUUCAUAUCUCUAGAUGCUAGAGGAAGGAAGCCCAGACCUAGAGAUUUAUGUGGAGUUUUUCUUAGAUACUUGUAUUCUUCGAAGGGGUAAAUAUUUGUCAAGGUGGAGAUUGAUGACGGGUGACUUAUGUCUGAGUGAAGGUCAAUGCGAGGGACGUUACGGAUGAAAAGAAAGAAAAAAAGGGCAGCCCGGUGGACGAAGCUCCCGCCAUGCGGGGUCCUGGGGAAGGAUCCAUUGUACGUAACCUUACCCUGCUUUUUGCAAGAGGCUGUUUCCAGGAUUCGAACCCGUGAUCUUUUGGUCACAUGACAACAACUUUACGGAUGAAAAGAAAUAAACGACGAAAAAAUUUUGUUAGGGUUUUUUCGUAACAUAAUUCUAUUACGAUUUUUCGUAAUAAUUUUGUUACAAUUUUUCGGGUACUAUUUAUAGGGAUCAUUGUAAACUUAUCGGUAGUAUUAUCAUUACAAUGUGAAUUCUCUUAUGUAAAGCGAAUUUUAAUAAAGCUUUGACCGUUUUACGGAGUAGGCACACCGCCAAACCACGAUAACUCUUCUUCUUCUUCGUGUUUACUUUUUCUUGUGCGUCUUUGUCUCAUUGCUCUGCGCGAUCUCUUUCUCUCUUCCUCUUCUUCCGCGUUAGAGGUUGCGAGGCGUUGCUCCCUUUGCACAAUAGUAUGUCAAGAAGCAGAGUCGUGUUGUCAAGGCUCGUGAUGCUUGACUUUACGCAACUAAGUUGGUGUUGGCUCGAUGGCUUAAGGAUCGUUAGAGAUCAUACAAGGAUGGUAUGAGACAUUCUGGGAAUUGUAGAACAAGGAACACUAAGGUGACGACCUUAACAAGAGCAACAAGUGGUGAACUAAGUAAAUGAGUGAAGUAUGACACAUGGAUCAGGUUAAGGGUUUUGAUGGGAGCCAAACUAUGUAGAUGAACGAGUGAAAUAUGACAUGUGGAAAAAAAUCCAAGGGUUCAAUGCAUUCAAGGUAUUGCCGAAUUGACAAGAGAUGCAUUGUGGGGUGAAGUAAAUCUAUGAUGUAAAACUUUUUAAGUGACUUGUGAGGGUUGGGUAACCUCUACUUUGGGUUUCGAGUAUACUUGAUUUAAGCGAAGACUCAACUGGCCUAGUCGACUAUCCAAUCGACUCGAGGGUGAUCCUAGUCGACUAAUAUGCUGAGUUGACUAGGGAGUUAAGUCAGUUUGAUUUGCUCACAAAAUGUUCAUGUUCGAAGUGGGCAGUCGACUACUGAAUCUCACUAGUCAAAAACAAGAUUGUUGAUUGGGCAUAAAAUGUUCAUGUUCAAAGUGAAAUCGAUUGGACAGUCGAUUAAAUCCUUGAUUGGAGUCAGAAACAAAACUGACUAUUGAUCUGACAAAGGAAAGAUGCAACUCUAAGGUUGCUUAUGCAAUAAAGUGAUUCAGUUAAGAUGUGAGAGUGUCAUUGCCAGCUGUUCAGUCAACCGUUAUUGGAAGCAUCACUCAUCAUAAUAAAGCUGUGUUAAUCCCAGCUGUUUGAGAUUUGCUAUGCGAAUUGCGUCCCUUCAUUGUAUUCCAUGCAAGACAUUAUCUAAUGCAAGUAUUGCCAAUUUGGGUAUUGGAUGAGUGUAGUUGAUCAAUGAUCCCUUUGCUUCAUUACAUUACUUCAUGGGUAUACUAUUGUGACAUAUCUGACUAAUAUGAUUAUCCAGAUGAAUCAUUGGUCUGAAUUUGAUAGGAGGUCAGUCUUCUGUUUACUGCAUUACAACAUCACUUACCUUGAUGCUAGUAUCAAAUUGGACAUUGCAUUUUGUCACAAACUUGUCUUUUAGCCUUUUAUGCCAGUUUAUACCGUGGAGUGAAGCGACUUAGGACGUGGUUAAUCAUCCAGUUGACACUGAACUCUUGUGUUCUCAAUUCAUUAAUUGAGGUCGUCUUUCCUGAUAAUUCAUCCGGCUGCUUGUACAUUAAAGUAUAUGCAGAUGCACUGAUUUCCACUUUAGUGGAUGCUGUAUUUUUUGCUAAAAAGUUUCAUGCGAUGACAACAAUAAUUGGUGAGACUUCUGAUAGGAUCAUGUUUGAUUUUCUAAUUCUUAAACUUUAGCUAGUCAUUUGGUUACUUUUGUCUCAAACACCUAAAUAGUCAGGUGCCUAAUAGUCUAUCUUCAAGGAGAUAUUGAUGUAGCAUUGGAUUCUUUGGAAUUCUCCUGUGAUACCUCUGUAUGGUUUCAUUAUUGCACUCUGAUUGUUCUUUAUUUGUUUAAAAUUGUAUUAAUGGAGUUAGAAUGUCUAGGUGGGAUUAUCUCUUCAUGUAUUUAUCUCCAGAUUAGAAAAACUAGCUCUUACAGCUAGCCAUUGUUAUUUACGCAUGAAACUACAAUGAUCAAGACAAUUUACUAAUUUCUCACAUUAGCUAAUCUCUUGCUGUUACAGCUUUGACAACAA